UUAACCCACUCGCCCUAACUCGAUCUAUCUUCAGCAAGCCCAGAUUAUUCCCGAAAAAAUCCCAGAUUAUUUUCAAGCAAAACGAUCUCCUCAAAUUCUCAUCUAUUUCAAGUUUAAAUGGGAAAUCAGGAGCACAUAAUUCUCACUGUUCACCUCUUAUUUUAUCUUCAAUUACACACUUAUUUGUUUUAGAUUUGGAUUUCAUGAUUGAUUUCGUAAUAGCAAUAUCCAAGACUCCAUUCGAACCCAAUCGCAACGUCGUCAACACAACAAUCAACAACGCAAUCUCUCCUCGCCGCUAAUUUCACCGAUACUGGGAAGCUGAUAUCUUGGGGUUCAACUGAUGAUUUAGGGCACAGUUAUGUGACUUCUGGUAAACAUGGGGAAACGCCAGAGGCUUUUCCACUUCCUACAGAAGCUCCCAUUGUAAGGGCAGCAGCUGGUUGGGCACAUUGCGUCUCAGCUACAGACAGGGGAGAAGUCUAUACUUGGGGUUGGAAAGAGUGUGUUCCAUCGGGGAAGGUUUUCGGCGAUUCUUCUUCUGAAGGAAGCUCAUAGAAGGAUGCACUUGAAAAGAAAAGUUCUCUGUUUCUAGAACAAGUUAGCCCUCGAGGGUCAAAAAAUGCCAAUGGUAUUGGGCCAGGAACCGUCUCAGAAAACAAAGGAGCAGGAUAAGAAACCACGAAACAAAGACGGGUUUCAUCAUCUAAACAAACUAUUGAAAGCUCCACAGCUAGUGAUGAAACACUCACAGCAUUACCCUGUCUAGUAACACUUAACCCUAGAGUAAGGAUAUCAACUGUUGCUGAUGGGGGAAAACAUACUCUUGUUUUGUCAGGUAAAUUUUGAGCAUGUUUCUACUUUAUUGUUUUUGGCAAGAACUAAAUUUGAAUGCCUGCCAAGUUGUGUUAACAUGGCAAAACUCAUAAGAGUUAUGGUUAUACGAGUUUCAUUUGCUCUAUACGACAUUUUCUUGUAGUGCAAGACUCUAAUAUUCUUUAUUUAAUUAGUUAAUAAAUUAAUUAUAUGUGAUUUACAUGGAAAUCCUACGUGGACGCUCUAAAUUCU